rnacentral:rRNA from 1 species
AUGGAGAUACCACCAGGUUUUGGCACAGAACAGACUACGGGGAAGGUAUGCAGGCUGAAGAAAUCCUUGUAUGGUCAGAAGCAAUCGCCGAGGGCAUGGUUUGAUAGGUUCAGACGGGCUGUUUGGAAUAUGGGGUAUGGCCAAUGUAAUGGUGAUCACACGGUGUUCUAUGGACACACUGAUAAGAAGAUCACCAUUCUUGUAGUGUAUGUUGAUGAUAUCAUCAUCACUGGAGACGAGGAGGAAAUUAAGAGAGUGAAGGGGUGUCUGAGCAAGGAGUUUGAGGUAAAAGACUUGGGCAAUCUAAAGUACUUCCUUGGCAUAGAAGUGGAUCAAACAGAGAAAGGAAUAUCUCUGUGCCAACGAAAAUACAUCUUGGAUCUCUUGGCUGACAUGGGCAUGAUGGGAUGUCGUGCAGCCCCUACUCCGGUUGAACAAAAUCAUCAAGUAACGGCAGAAUCAGGUCAGCUAGUGAAUAAGGAAGAUUAUCAAAAGCUGGUUGGGAGGUUAUUGUACUUGUGUCAUACCAAGCCUGACAUUACGUAUGCCGUGGGGGUGGUCAGCAGAUACAUGCAUGAACCAAGGAGUGCGCAUCUUGAUAUUGUUCACAGAAUCCUAAGAUAUUUGAAGGGGACUCCGGGUAAAGGGUUGUGGUUUGCGAAGAGUGGACAUCUUGAGGUGGAUGGCUAUAGUGACUCUGAUUGGGCUAGCUGA